rnacentral:rRNA from 10 species
GCUUACGGCCAUACCACCUUAGGCACGCCCGAUCUCGUCUGAUCUCGGAAGCUAAGCAGGGUCGGGCCUGGUUAGUA